rnacentral:misc_RNA from 1 species
AACAUCGCGCACCUGCGGGAACCUGCGGAAGGAUCAUUACCGAGUUUACAAACUCCCAACCCUAUGUGAACCUUACCAAUCGUUGCUUCGGCGGGCUUAGCCCCCGCGCCCUCGCCGGCGCCGGGAGAAAGGCGCCCGCCGGGGACCCCAAACCCAAUGUUUUUCAUGCAGUAUUUCUGAGUGGCAAACGCAAAAAUAAAUCAAAACUUUUAACAAUGGAUCUCAGAUCGGAAGAGCACA